rnacentral:snoRNA from 1 species
CCAACGUGGACACCCAGGAAGGGUACUCUGUCCAGGCAGUGCAGGGGAGCACAGGGUUCUGCCCAGUGCUGUACAGUCCCACCUACAACAUUGGAGGUGAAGCCGGGCCUCAAGCCUGCUCCUGUGUAUUCCUACAGUUUCCGAGUCCUAUGGACAAUGACUGAGGAGACAAACCAUGCAGGAAACAUAU